rnacentral:tRNA from 1 species
CCCGUCCCUGGAGCGUGAGGUCCAGGUCCUACUCGCCUCUGGCGCGCGAGGUCCAGGUCCUAUUCCGGCGGCGGCGGGUCGCCUUCGGCGGGCGGGGC